rnacentral:rRNA from 1 species
UACGGGGGGGGCAAGCGUUGUUCGGAAUUACUGGGCGUAAAGGGCUCGUAGGUGGCCAACUAAGUCAGACGUGAAAUCCCCAGGCUCAACUUGGGAACUGCGUCUGAUACUGGAUGGCUUGAAUUCGGGAGAGGGAUGCAGAAUUCCAGGUGUAGCGGUGAAAUGCGUAGAUAUCUGGAGGAAUACAGGUGGCGAAGGCGGCAUCCUGGACCGAUAUUGACACUGAUGAGCGAAAGCUAGGGGAGCAAACGGG